AAUGACUUAAAUAUGUUAUGGUUCAGUCGGAUUUACUUUAUUUGGAUUAACAUAGCUUUGUGAAAUUAAUAAAGUAAUUAUGAUUUUCAUAUGAGAUUAUGAAAAUGAUUUUCUAUCCCUCGUGCUAGCAUGUUUUUUAAAGAAAAAGGUUUUCGUAUGGGAAACGGUUUUAAAAAGAUUUUUUUUGAUUUUUUUUAUGAUUCUUAGUGUUUUAAAAUAAAAUUUCAAGUAGAAAACGUUUUAAACUAAUAGAUGUGAAUUUAUGAAUAUUGGUGAUGAUUGUGAAUGGUGUAUGUAUGUGAAUGAUCAUACUGUUGUGGUUGUAUUUUGUACUUGUGCGACGCCGUGCAAAUAUAGAAAAAAUUCUGUUCGUGUGAAUAGUGGAUUUCCUGUAUUUGUGGCAGAUCUGACAUACUUUAGGAUCAAGGUUUUCAAAAAAAAAAAAAAGGGUACUUUCGCAUUGGCUUUUAAAUCCAAAGGGACCCCGGGGCAUGACAAAGAUAAAGUCACCUUACCUUUUUCAAUAAUUUGAAAUAAGUUCUCCAACUUUAACAUUUAUAUAAAAAAUUUAUUAAGUCCUACAACUCUAACAUUUUAGUUUUUU
rnacentral:lncRNA from 1 species